rnacentral:lncRNA from 1 species
AAUAAUACAACAUUUCCCAUACAUUUUUUAUCCAUUCAUUGACAUCAACCAAAAUAGGCAGGGGAGAGCACUCGGUACAAAACCAUACAGAAAUUGAAGAAGCAACAUGGUAUUUCCUGAUACAGAGUUGGACGGAUGCUCUGGGAUUUUUAGAACUGAUGAGGAAAUCACAUUUAGAAUCAACUCGGAUUUUUAAAGGAGUUUCAAACUGUAAUAAGAAAGUUCAACAUAGCUCUCAGAUAGCCACUCUGUAGAUCAAAAAAACAUAAAGCAUCUUAAGUUACCAAACGAUAACAUUGGAAGGUUACGGUUUGACCUAUCUCAAAUGUAGAGGUGACAUUAAAUGGCCACAACUUUCAGUCGCUAGUUGGAAGCAAAGUCAUCUCAUCAGUGACUAAUCGGUUAGCAGAACUUCUGAAGAGAAAUGGAAGCAGAGUCACUAGCGCCUUCGCGCACCCCACAGUGAGAUCCCUGGCGAUUCACCUGGAAAUGGGGUCAGAAAGCUCAUGUCGCACUGCACCUGGGAAUUGGAGUACAGUUCCUCAAUGUAAAGAAGAUGCAUCACAAAAUUGAUAUUAUUGAGUAUUGACUUAGAUUUGACGUGUUCUAUUUGAUGAAACAUAUGAGAAAGUAUAUUGUGUCCAAGAAUCAACAGGAAAACAGUAAGAGAAACAUCUAAUACAAUCUGCAACUAGGUAGUACUCCUACAAACCAUGCUGGCUGAGUAAUAGCUAAUCUGCAACUACAUAGUACUCCUACAAACGCAAGCAACCGUCUCACCUUCACUGACAACUGCGGAGUCUGCUUGAAGUUGGAACUGCGGUUCAAGUCUCAGAAGCAACAUAGUUGGACUGAAGCUCUACGAAUUUUAGAACUUAUGAAAAAAUGUGCAGGCGGAGCACAUAUAUCAGUAAUAGUUAUAUCGAGAGGGUUUACUUCAACCCCUACAUUUUUCAAUCAGUAAUACUUAUAUCAGUACCUCGUUAUUCAUCAAUACUAGUACGACUCGACAAGAAGUGCAAAAUUGUAGCAGCACACAGAUUGAACUUACACAAUUUUUCUUUUGAAACAUAUUUUAGGUGAUAUAUCUAGUUUUGAAACAUGAACUGAUGAUAUUUUUUUGCACGCACUAUGCUAUCUAAAAAUUGGACGAACAGAAACUAGAAAUUGGACUGAAGUAAACCUAGAAAAUUGAGCAACAGUGCUUGCUAAAUCAUGGGAGCUCCUAGGCAUUUGAUCAAAUACAACCAACGCCUAGCACUGUCAGCACCACAUCUGCAGCUGCAGUAACGCCACCAACUGAACGGGCUCUGGUGGUGUUGUUGAACGGCCUAGGUGGCCAGGUUUGAACGAAACCUGCAAGAUGAACCCAAGGGGAGCUCCUUCACCUGCAAGAUGAACAGAAAAUGCACACUAAGGCGACCUGAAGAACCACCAGAUGUUGAACUGAAUAUACGCAAGAUAAGGAGGUGAACGUCAAGGGGGAGGUGGGGAAAAGCUAGCACCUCCCGAGCUGCGGCGUAGAACGGCUUAGCGCUAUGUUGUAGAACCAUCAACGUUGAACCUGUUGAGUUCUGAUUUUUGAACCUUUGCAGUAGUAAUACAUGUACUGGGCGGUACAUGCUUCUGUUGUUGAGCAG